rnacentral:rRNA from 1 species
UACGUAGGGAGCAAGCGUUUGUCCGGAAUCAUUGGGCGUAAAGCGCGCGUAGGCGGCCUCGUAAGUCCGUUGUGAAAGUCAAAGGCUCAACCUUUGAAAGCCGAUGGAUACUGUGAGGCUAGAGUCCGGAAGAGGCGAGUGGAAUUCCUGGUGUAGCGGUGGAAUGCGCAGAUAUCAGGAGGAACACCAAUAGCGAAGGCAGCUCGCUGGGACGGUACUGACGCUAAGGCGCGAAAGCGUGGGGAGCGAACAGG